GACGAACGCUGGCGGCGUGCCUAAUACAUGCAAGUAGGACGCAGUUGCGAACGGGUGAGUAACGCGUAGGUAACUACCUAUUAGAGGGGGAUAACUAUUGGAAACGAUAGCUAAUACCGCAUACUAGUAGAUGGACCUGCGUUGUAUUAGCUAGUAGGUAGGGUAAAGGCCUACCUAGGCAACGAUACAUAGCCGACCUGGAGAGGGGGUCGGCCAAAAUGGGAAUGGGACAAGGCCCAGACUCCCUAGGGGGGGAGCAGUAGGGGAUCUUCGGCAAAGGGGGGAACCCUUACCGAGCAAAGCCGCGGGGGUGAAGAAAGUUUUCGGGUCGUAAAGCUCUGUUGUUAAGGAAGCGGUACUUAACCAGAAAGGGACGGCUAACUACGUGCCAGCAGCCGCGGUAAUAC
rnacentral:rRNA from 1 species